GUGCCAUUUUAAGGUUGGCUAACACUAAGGGUAAAGGAACUCUACAUCAACCCCAGAGUAUAGGCUGUGACCUCCUCUUGGAUCCUGUCUGAAGACACAGAU